UACAGAGGGUGCGAGCGUUGUCCGGAAUCACUGGGCGUAAAGGGCGCGUAGGCGGCUUUUCAAGCGUGCGGUGAAAGCUCGGGGCUUAACUCCGAGUCUGCCGUGCGAACUGGGAGGCUUGAGUCUGGUAGAGGUCGAUGGAAUUCCGGGUGUAGCGGUGGAAUGCGUAGAGAUCCGGAAGAACACCGGUGGCGAAGGCGGUCGACUGGGCCAGAACUGACGCUGAGGAGCGAAAGCGUGGGGAGCGAACAGG
rnacentral:rRNA from 1 species